rnacentral:rRNA from 1 species
UACGGGGGGUGCAAGCGUUGUCCGGAAUCAUUGGGCGUAAAGCGUUCGUAGGCGGCAAGGUAAGUCUGAUGUUAAAGCCCGGGGCUCAACUCCGGUUCGGCAUUGGAUACUAUCUAGCUAGAAUGUGGUAGAGGUAAAGGGAAUUCCUGGUGUAGCGGUGAAAUGCGUAGAUAUCAGGAGGAACAUCGGUGGCGAAGGCAGCAUACCGGCGCGCAACUGACGCUCAUGCACGAAAGCGUGGGUAUCGAACAGG